ensembl:misc_RNA Metazoa_SRP Metazoan signal recognition particle RNA
GCUGGGCACAGUGGCUUAUGCCUGUAAUCCUAGCACUUUGGGAGGCAGAGGUGGGUGGAUCACCUGAGGUCAGGAGUUUGAGACCAGCCUGGCCAACAUGGUGAAACCCCAUCUCUA